GAUGCGGGGGCUGCGCGCCUCCGCCCGCAGACGCUGCUUCUCAGCCGGGCCAAGAUCAACAAAAGCUCGCCUCCAUGUUUUGAUUCUGUCAGAAAGCAGCUUCUGAAUGCCCUAGAGGAAUGCUGAAGUGCUUCCCAGGCACCAUGGUCCAUAUGACUGAUGCUGGAGGGGUGGACAGCCCAGGUUUGCAAAGGCGGCUGCAGCUAGUUCUUAACAAGUCAUCAGGCCCCUGAGAUCCAUGUGGGGCCAAAUCAACAGAGGAGAGCCCUCCAGCUCUCCUGCAAUGACCCUUGUGCACUUGUGCUGGGAGAUCCAACAGUGCACUCUCAGUGGAUCCCACAGGGAAGAAGGCACAGAAUUAUAAAUUACAGAGAUGAUGCUAGGAUGAUACUGAAGCCUCUUCCCCCACCACUGCCGCCACUAGAAACCAGAUCAGAGAAGGACAGGGAGAGAAUCCUAAUCAACCGAGAACUAUCCACCACCACUCCCAAACUGAGUUUUAAGCCAUAAGCGACUGAAUUCUCUUAAUUUAACAAGAUUAAGUUUUCCAUCGCAAGUGGAAGCACGUUCAUUAAAACUGCUGCUACAUUGUGUCUCUGAAGAAAUCCAA